rnacentral:rRNA from 1 species
CCUACGGGAGGCAGCAGUGAGGAAUAUUGGUCAAUGGACGAGAGUCUGAACCAGCCAAGUAGCGUGAAGGAUGACUGCCCUAUGGGUUGUAAACUUCUUUUAUAUGGGAAUAAAAUGUUCCACGUGUGGGUUUUUGUAUGUACCAUAUGAAUAAGGAUCGGCUAACUCCGUGCCAGCAGCCGCGGUAAUACGGAGGAUCCGAGCGUUAUCCGGAUUUAUUGGGUUUAAAGGGAGCGUAGGUGGGUUGUUAAGUCAGUUGUGAAAGUUUGCGGCUCAACCGUAAAAUUGCAGUUGAUACUGGCAGUCUUGAGUACAGUAGAGGUGGGCGGAAUUCGUGGUGUAGCGGUGAAAUGCUUAGAUAUCACGAAGAACUCCGAUUGCGAAGGCAGCUCACUGGACUGCAACUGACACUGAGGCUCGAAAGUGUGGGUAUCAAACAGGAUUAGAUACCCUUGUAGUC